UUAUUGAAAACCUAGCUUUGUUCCCUAGUUUCCAAGACUGAUCAUUUGGGUGUUUUUCUUCUUUGGGAGCCCUAAUUGUGAACAUUGCCCGAAAAAUAUUGUUUUUCUUUUCUCAGAAUCAAUGAGUGUGCGUUGCAACCAAAUGGGACAAGGGGAUAUUUUGUGUUGGGAUUUCAAUUUAAUCAAUUCCAUUUGGGAAUCCUGGCCUCCUGGAUAUUAUAGACACUUGAAAUGAAUCAUUGAAGUUUUAGAAGUUGUGGAGAAUUGAAGCGUUAAGAGUAUGUUCUUAAAACACAUCUAAUAGGUGACUAUAUGUCCUAUGAAAAUUGAAAAGCCCAAGGGUGCCAUGGAGAAGUGGCAAUUGAGGAAUUUAUGUGAUUUGAGAUACUGGGUUCAGGUUUGUACAGCCUCUUUCUUCGGACCAUAUACCUUCGACCUUUUUGCAUAUGGUUGAGUGAUGUGGUUGAAUUCGAUCCUAUUACCAUUUGCGAGAACUGUUCAAUAUUCGAUUGCUAAAUGCACACAAUCUUGGAUUGCUUUUGACACUUUAGUCGGUUGUUGCUUGCAAAUCGUGCCAGUUAGUUAACGAAAAGCGAGCAAGUGUGGAAUCUUAUAGCCCCCGUUAAGUAUCUGCAAUUAUUCAGGUUUUCUCCUCAUGUUUUCUACCCUCUUUGGUGGUCAAAACACAAUAAGAAAUAUACUGAUCACAUUAUGUAUGGUUUUCAUUGUUUAGUGCAAGAAGUAAUUGUAGCUGUAAAGAGUUUAAAUUUAACUGAUAUGGAUCACAGAUUAACCCGUUCCUUUGGGAUCAGAUUUUGUUUGAUCUUUAUUAGUUUAUGUCGAAGUAAUAGCAGCUAUAAAAAGGUUUGCUCUUCGGUUUAUUUGUAGAGUGCUUAUGUGUGACUCAGAACCCUGUUAAUUGCAGAGCAAUAAACUGGUAUUUACCCGCAAAAAGCAAUGAUGGCAAGACAAGGAGGCUUGAUUCGAGACCAGAAUUUAAAUGUUCACUUUGACUUGGCUCCUCUUGGAGUAAAGUCCAACGUUUCCAAGGCACGGAAGCAAGGAGGGGGGCUCGGUGGAAGGAAAGCACUCAAUGAUAUAUCAAAUUCAGGGAGGCCUUCCACAUUUCAGCCAUCGAAGAAGCACAGCUCAAGGAAUGCAAUAUCUCUUGGUGAAGAUAUUGAUCCCUCUAAAUUGAAAUCUUUUGGAGGAAGGACCAAUGUUUCUAAAGCCCUAGAGAAAGUGCAAGUUUCUGGUGGCAGGAAAGCACUUAGUGACCUCACAAACUCUGCCAAGCCACAUAUGCAUCAGGCAUCAAAAGAGAACCAUGAUAAGAAGUUGAGUGCUGUUUUAGAGGAACAAAUUCUUCUGCAUUUUGUGGAGGAACAGUUCUGCAUAAUCAUCCGGAAUGCAUUAAAGCACAAAGGAAGGCCGUGGACAUGCAUUAUUUUCUGGAGACAAUUGGACUAGCUAACAAUAAUUCCACGCAGAUAGCUUCUCCACUGAUGUCUCCACUUUCAAGGAAAUUGAAGCCUGAGAGUUCUCCAAAAAGGUACUUGGAGAUGGAAGAGAUGCCUGAACUCCUGUUUGAAGAUCGAUCUCAAUGGAACAAGACUGAGAUGCCUAGUGAACAAACUCCUUGUCAAAAUCUGAAAUCACCCAAGCCUUUUAUGCAGUGGCGCAACUACCCAGAAUUCAUGUUGAUGGAGACUUCAAAAUUGCCAAAGCUAUGAUCCUUUUAAUCCUAUAUAUGAGUACUAGAUGCGUAUUAUCAGUAUUUUGCAGGGUUGGUUAUGCAAUACAGAUUAUCGAUGGAGUAUUCCUUGCUUGUUCAUCAGUCAAUUGAUUGACUGUAGUGUAGUGUAUCUAGAGUUAGAGUUUCAUUCUUUGGACCCUUUGGUUUCAUUCAAUUAAUUGACAUUUGUCCUGAUUCUAGCUUCAAUUCUGCAAGUUUAUGAUAUACUUCAGAAAAUUAGUGUCUUCUAAGUUCUAAUGGCUUGUUACAAGAAGUGGUACCAUGUUUGUUCGCAUGAAAUUCUCAACUGUUCAAAGAGCUCAUAAGGAUUGCGAAGAGCUUAACAAGGUAAUUGACUCUUAGAAUGAAGUUAACUGAGAUGAAACGCGAGCAAGGAAAAAGGGAAACGUCAUGCUCCUCAACCAUUUGCAUUCUUGAACUCACUUUUGUGACACAGAGGCCGGUCCGUUGGAGUUCAAUAGCUACAGCCUACAUUCAGCCGUAAUUUGCUGGAAUGCCCCAGGCCAAGGUGCCAAAGUUGUGAACCAUUUUAUGUGAAUAUAUAUUAUGGACGUGAACUCGAAUGACAAGUUAAAAGCGGCAAUUAGUCAGGGGAAAUGGGCAAGGGGUUCCUGGUUAGCUAGGUAAUCGUUUUUAAUUUUACCUCUUAUUUUUCACCACACAUAUACUUGUUUCCCAUCUUUUGGUUAGCGUAUUUGUACAUACCGUUUCUCCAUUUUAUUUGGUUGUGUAGUGACACCUUUGAGUCAAGGGUGGAAGAAGAGGCGACCAUUAGGUGUUAACCCUUUUGAACAGCCUGAAGGCAAGGAGAAAACCAUGCUUCAUGACUGGAAAUCCAAGAGAGGAGGUCGCGAUUUUUGCCAAAAUUGUAACGAAUCACCCGGCGUGAGCUUACAUCAUUUUCUUCCACCUAAUACGUGCAAUUCGUUUUUUUUUUUUUUUGGGAUUCCUCCUAAUUUGAAUAUUAGAAUUUGCAGUUGUACUAGGCUGUGUA